UCAGAGAUUACUCUGUCUUUCGAAUGAUUGAAGUGAAUACUUUUUUUACGGCUGAAUUAUUCGAUCGUUUAAUUAUCGAUAGCUUUCUUUCGAUUCUGUAUAUCACUGUCUGUAGUUGUGACAUUUCUAAUGACCAAUUUAAGUGUUGCAGAGAUCUUGCAGGAAUUCAUAAAGAAGCAAACACUGGGUCCAGAAAUUCGAAGACAAGGAAUGCUUCGUAGCUCCAAGCCAUGGAACGGACCAGCCCCAUGACGCCUGCGCCUACCGUAGCAGUCACCAAUGUCGUCCGUCGGCCUACCCUGUACGGAGGAAGACUCAGAUGUGCCGAAGAGAUCGCCAAAGCUCGUCAGCCCAGAUUCACUAAGACAGCGAUCUCCUGUUUGCUUAUCUUGUGAACAGCCCCCCUCCCCUCGGCCUGUGAAACUUGCUUACAUGAUGGGGUUUCACGGCAUCUUCUUGAGGCAGCCACAAC